rnacentral:lncRNA from 1 species
UGAACAGAUCUGUGAGGAUUUCACCAGAUCUAGGGUUCUACUUUCAUUCGAUUUCAAAUCCAUGACCCCAACCUGUGACGGUGUGGUGUGCAGUGUUAAAAUCCGCCGAUUAGGGUUCCGGCAGUGGGAUUCUUGAGCAGAUUUGUGGCAAAUGAGACGAGCAUCUGGCGGUAGAUGGUGAUUGAGGUAGGUUUCGACAACCCGCUUCUGAUUUAUCGGCUGCGUGUACGUUUUCUGACAAGGAAGGUGCUUCUUCUGCUAAGAAUGUCCAGUUGACUAGAGUGUAUGAUUUGGUAGCUGUGCUGACCCAUAAAGGCAGAAGUGCAGAUUCAGGCCAUUAUGUUGCUUGGGUAAAGCAAGAAAUGGAAAAUGGGUUCAGUUCGAUGACGAUAAUCCGAUCCCACAAAGGGAAGAAGAUAUAACAAAACUUUCUGGAGGAGGGGUGUUAAACGGGUCGUGUUCGUGGGUUGACGAGCUUGGGUGGCAGGUCCAACCCAAAUAAGACACGUCACAAAAACCUGAAAUUUGGGUUGGCAUGCGCAGCCGCAACGGCGUGGCGAUUCUUUGAGCCGUGGGCUAAUUAAUCUUAAUAUAUCUAGACCCAAGAAGGUAGACUUGACUGAUGUGGGCAUUGUCGGCGGUUUGUCUAUUGGGGUCGAAGAGAAGCAUAAAGGACUUCCAAAUUCUCUGUACAUGGGUCGAGCUAUUGGCACUGGAUCUGGGCUCGGUGGUUACGUUUUGGGAGGGAGAAGUUGUUGAUACAAAGAAUUAUGCAUUCUUCACCAACAAAUGGAAAGCAACGUCAGAAGUUGACAUAGAUCACUGGACAAAAUUUUCAUCUUUUUCACCUCUUUUAAGUCAAGUUGAAGUUGAUGGUGGGAAGUCAUUGGACCUAAGCAACUAUCAAUACAUAUUUAUGCCAAAUAUUCUGGUUUGGGGAUCUCAACUACAGGUUAUACUUGGAAAAUGAUUUAGCUAGGGAGCUAAUAAAAAAGCAAGAUUGGAGUGCCCUUCAAGAGUUUGAUCAGCUAAGGCAGGAACUCAGAGAUGGUGGAUGCCGUUCAUGGGACAGGUGUGACAGGAUCUUAUGGUAUGGAAAAGGAGUAAAACAACAUUCUUAUUUCCGUAGUGAGAGCAAGUUCUCCCACCAUUAGGCCCGUAUCGGCUCUUUUGUCUACACAAAUUGAACUCAUCAAGUCUGAGGAACAAGAAAGAGGUAAGGGGGAGGCUUCAUCUACAUUGCAUUCACUAAUGUCCAAAGAGUAAGAAGCACUAUCAUCAAACAAAAAAUGUCCUAGAACAAACAAAAGGCUAUGAUGCUGAGUUCAUUGGAUAAGAUAAACUCUUAGUGACUAAACAUUAUUAAGUUUUAGUUUCCAUGAUUCUUUUAUUGAUUAGCUUUGUUUUGGUUCCAACAAUGAAACAAUGAAACUGAAAACUAUGCUAAAAUGUUAGAUUAUACUAUUUUUGUGUCCGUGUCAAACAAGCGACUCGUAUCAGUCAACAACAGAGAUCUAAACCAAAAGGUGAACCAUGAUGGUAACGAAACAAAUGCGAUGAAUGCAGCAAGCGCAUGAUUGGAAGUAGGAAGAUAUAUAUAGAAACAGAUUAUAUAAGCAACAUACAUGAUGAAGGGUUGUUUAUCCAUUGUGUUUACAAAAACAAUUCCUCUUGUACUGAAUGGGUUGGGUUAUUUAUUUGUGGUCUUAUAGUUAACAACUUAACAAAUUCAAGCAUAGUGGUAUGCCCAUUUAUUUGGGCUGGGAACCAAUGUAGAAUGACCAAUUAUAGAUUGGCUUUGGUUACAUGAUCAUAAAUGGACCCACAAGGAGUCAAAAGACCACAUACACGGAACAUCCGUAGUCUUUGUUUCUAUCUUUUUUUUAGAAAAAAAUAUU